AGAACACAGUAUAUGGGUUUUUUGGUGAAUUCAAUAACAGUUUUUGUAAAUAUUAACUUUAUACUUGUGAUGUAGAAAUACGUCAGUAUGCAAAAUCGAAUUUUCGGAAAAUUGGCACAUAGAAUUGAGACAUCAAACAACUUUUGGCGGUUUUAGAAGACGGAAAUGUUUCUGAAGAUGGUUUGGAAGAUGAAAGUGAAGAUGACGAACCCUUUUUAGCUUAUGCAAGAGAGAUAAUACAAAAGAAAGAAGGCGAGGAUGCAGAGGAUCAUGAAGAUCCUACCUAUAGCGAUCCACCACUGGUUCAAGAUUUUCCUGACUCAUUGAGUAAAAUUAUUUCUUCAUUAUCCAUGCAAGAAGGUCAUGAACAUUUUGUAGUAUGAGUAAAGGAAACUUGUUUCGAAAAAAGACAGUUUGUAUGAUAUUGUAUGAUGAAUCAAAAAUAAUUCGCCAACCAAGUACAAGAGACUCUGCUAUAACUGAACUUGAUACACCAUAUAAAUGUUUUUUGCAUUACUUUACACCAGUUUCUUAAAAAAAUUGCUGAUGAAACUAACUUAUAUGCAGUGCAAAAAAAACCCUUUAAUAUAUUUUAGUAUUACUGUUGGGAGUUAAAAAAUCUUUGGAAUUCUUUUAUUUAUGUCAGUGGAGCAUUUUCCUAGUGUUCGCUCAUACUGGCAUUUAAAGUUUGGGCACAAUCCUGUAAGGAGUGCAAUGCCGGUAAAAUAAUUGUUUCAGAGAUUUUCAUACACUGCAAUAAGCCUAACUAGAAGACCAUCGUUCAGCAGAAUAGUACUCAGUUAAAAUUUUUAAUAGUAACCCUUAUGCAUACUGAUGUAGAUUCACAUCGGAAAGGUAAAAGCAAAAAAAAGCAAUUCAAAAAAGGCAUGGGGAUGACCUCUAGCAAGCCUAUUUUAGAGCCAAGCUAAGAAAUGCUGAUUUAGAAUAUAAACAUAUGAUAAAUAAACAUAAGUUAGAAAUGCAAAUACUUAAAUUAAGAUAAACCUGCCACUGUUAAUAAUAAAGAUUGUAUGUUUUUAAAAAUAAAAGCAAGUUGAAAAAGAGAAAUGUGUAUUAUUAAGGUUAUUCUAACAAUGAAAUUUUCAUUAUACUCAUUGUCUACAGGUGGAUCUGUAAACUCUUCCAUGUUCAUAAUGUC